rnacentral:tRNA from 1 species
GCUUAGCUCAGCGGUAGAGCACUGGAAUCAUAAUCCAUUGGUCGCUGGUUCAAUCCCGGCAGC